AUGAUGUGAUCCAGCAUCUGGAGCAGCCUGGAACUGUACGUUCCACCAUAGAUCCAGACAAGAAGCCACCUCAGCGUCAACAAGUAAGGAUCAACCCGUGGAAGCUAGCGAAACUCGACUCAAACGAAGCGUCUAAAGCAGCUGCGAAAGCGCGUGCAUCCUCAUCAGUGCUUCUUCCAUUAGCUUCUCGACAAAACCCUCACAAAACCAGCAGCAACGCAAGCGGGAGAAGCAGCCCCGCAAGUAGCUAUCAGACCAAAAACACUAGUUUGACAAGAGACCACAUCAACCCAAUGUACAUGUCAUCAUCAGCCAACGAGUCACCAUUAAACGAGGAAGAAAGGAGGAACGUUGUCAUUGCUGCUGCAGCAGCUAGGAGAAACAUGUCUACAAGCGAUGAGAGUUCAGUGGUUUGGGAUCCGGAAGCUGGCAGGUUUGUAUCUUCUUCUCUUCAGACUCCAGGAACAGAGUUGGCUACUUUUGGAGGAGGAGGUUCUCUUGCUGGUAAUGAACGUCUCAACAGUGUUUCUUCUUCUGGGAGUGAUGGUAGCAGAAGGGUCAGAGGAACUCCCUUAACUGGUUAUUUCCAACAAGUUAGAUCACAGAGAGGAGGGCAGCUUCCAGUGUUUAUGCCUAGUGAUUCUCAGCUGCAGAGACAUGUAUCUACUAGAUUCCAGUAGAAUCAUUUGUAGUCUUUAGGUGACUAAACUUUUUUUUAAUUAAAGUUUCUUAUUUCUCUCGAAGUCUAAAGACAUCAGUAAGCUCAGCUAUAUAAUUUGAAUGUAGUAGACUAGUAGUGUCUUUUUUUUUUUUUGAUCAAGUGACUAAUAGUGUCUAUGUUCACAAAAAAAAAAAUAAUGUCUAUGUUAGAUAGUGUCUUAUUUAAUAAAUAGUAUAUGGUGUUUUAGUUACCAGAACAUCAAAGUCGUUGUAGUAUAGUGGUAAGUAUUCCCGCCUGUCACACAUUCAAAAGUUCUUUGAAAUUUCCACUUCACGGGUCGACUUUAAUACCUGCUCACUAAACUCGGGUCAUCCCCCAACACAUUAAAUGACGUUACAGUAGCUUGCUGAUUUUAGGGGAAAGCAAAACAACAACAACAACAACAACAUCCACAAUCACUCUCUUUUUCAAAUUCACAUUUUUCUUUUUUAUUUACUCUUUCGAGUGAUCUCAGUGGUUUUUUUUGGUUACUGCAAUGGCGAGAAGACAUGGAUGGCAACUUCCAGCUCACACAUUUCAGGUUAUAAGAUUUGUAAAGAGAUCUCUUUUGACUUUGGUUUGAACGAUUGUGAAAAAGUUCCCUUUGUCUUAAUCUUGUGUAAAGUUUGUUCCUUUGUCGUGAAAAUGACAUCAAAUAGUUUUGUUUGUAUCUGAGAGUUCACUUUCUUGUGACUAUAUUGACUUCAAUACAUACAAAUAUAUAUACUUGUUGUGCAUUUUUGAGACCCGUUGUAUUGAAUUUCGAUUCUGUUGAUGUGCAGGUUGUGGCCAUAACUGUGUUCUUCUUGCUAACUAUCGCAUACUAUGCCUUCUUUGCUCCGUUUCUCGGGAAGAUACUCUAUCAAUACAUCGCCUUUGGUGUCUACUCAUUCUUGGUAAUAACAUUGUUUUAUACUAAGCUUGUUGUAUACCUCUCACAACUCUGAUCUCUCUCUUUUGCCUAGGCGUUUUCGGUUUUUGUUCUGUACAUCCGAUGCACUGGUAUAGACCCUGCAGAUCCUGGGAUCUUUGUGGAGGCUGUGAACACUCCAGCUCAUAAGUCACAGACCAGUAACUAUGUUCCUGGUUAGUGCUUAAUCAAUGAUGCUGUGUGAUAAUUUUUGUUCUUUGCUUAGAGUGAUGUUUUAUGUUGCAGAGAAUGGUGUGCCGUAUACUAGACACGGCUCGGGGUGCUGUAAUGCUGUGGGAAGAUUCAUUUGUGGUUGUUUAGUAAUACAAGAUUGCCGUAGAGAUACACAUCAGGAGCAGUCAGGGGAGCAAGAAGAAGCUUUGUUCUGCUCUUUGUGCAAUGCUGAGGUAUAUUAGUAUUAUUUGCAGUAUUAUUUGCUUCUGUUAAAAACCUUUCUCAUUGCGUAACACCACAUUCUUUUUUGAAGGUGCGUAAGUUUAGCAAGCAUUGUAGAAGUUGUGGCAAGUGUGUUGAUGGGUUUGAUCAUCAUUGCCGGGUAUGCAGUUUGAAUACUUAGUUUUAUCAUCAAACUUAGCAUCUUAACUCAUAUGUCAUGUUACUAUCUCUUGCCUUAGUGGCUGAAUAACUGUGUGGGGCAGAAGAACUACAUCAGCUUUGUGUGUCUUAUGGCUGCAAGCUUCUUCUGGGUAUGUUUUCACUUCAAGAUUGAUUAUGGUUAUCUCAUUAGAUAACAUCUAAUGACCUUGCCAAUAAUGACAACAGCUUUUAGUUGAAUUUGGAGUUGGUGUUACUGUCUUUGUCCGAUGUUUUGUGGAGCAAAAGGCAAUGGAACAUCUCAUAACCGAGAAGCUUGGACUUGGCUUCUCCCGUCCUCCAUUUGCUGCUAUUGUGGUAAAGAUAAUGUUGGUUCUGUUCUAUCUUCUAUCAAUUUUUUAGUUUCCAACUUGAGUUUGCUUUCUUCUUAUUCUGCAGAUUGUUUGUACAGCUCUCUCGUUUCUGGCUAUAGUUCCACUUGGGGAGCUUUUCUUCUUCCACAUAAUUUUAAUCCGAAAGGUUUUGUAAUUUGUUUCUUUUGCAUCAUGUUUAAUCACUACACAUAAAGACAUGAAGGUGAGGAUUGUUAUAUUACUUUGGUGGCUGCAGGGAAUCACAACAUAUGAAUAUGUUGUUGCUGUGAGAGCACAAAGCGAGCCGCCUGGACCGUCUAUAGAUGCGGGAGACGAGUAUAGCCAGCCACCUUCACCUGCAAGCUCAGCUGUCACAGCCGCGAGUGGAAGAAGCUCUCUCGGAUUGAGCAUUCAGUACCGUGGCGCCUCCUUGUGCACUCCUCCAAACAUAUUCAUGGAUCAAAAUGUAAUUAAAAACUACAAUCUUAUUUAUCUUUUUUCACUUUCUUCAUUUGUUUACUCUCUCUUUUUGUCAGGAUGAUGUGAUCCAGCAUCUGGAGCAGCCUGGAACUGUACGUUCCACCAUAGAUCCAGACAAGAAGCCACCUCAGCGUCAACAAGUAAGGAUCAACCCGUGGAAGCUAGCGAAACUCGACUCAAACGAAGCGUCUAAAGCAGCUGCGAAAGCGCGUGCAUCCUCAUCAGUGCUUCUUCCAUUAGCUUCUCGACAAAACCCUCACAAAACCAGCAG
rnacentral:lncRNA from 1 species